rnacentral:rRNA from 1 species
GGGAAACUGAGAAUAAUACCGGAUAGUCCACCACGCCUGGAACGGUGGGUGGAUCAAAGGUCACGGCACAGGAUGGGUCUGCGGCGUAUCAGGUUGUAGGGGGUGUAAAGGACCCCCUAGCCAUUGACGCGUACGGGUUGUGGGAGCAAUCGCCCGGAGAUGGAUUCUGAGACACGAAUCCAGACCCUACGGGGUGCAGCAGGCGCGAAAACUUCACACUGCAGGAAACUGUGAUGAGGGAACUCCAAGUGCAUGCACAAUGUGCAUGCUUUUCCUUACUUUUAAUCGGUUUGGGAAUAAGGGCUGGGAAAGACCGGUGCCAGCCGCCGCGGUAAUACCGGCAGCUCAAGUGGUCGUCGCUUUUAUUGGGCCUAAAACGUCCGUAGCCUGUUUGGUAAAUCUGUGGGUAAAUCAACCAGCUCAACUGGUUGAAUUCUGCAGAGACUGCCAGACUAAGGACCGGGAGAGGUGUGGGGUACUCUCGGCGUUAGGGUAAAAUCCUGUCAUCCUG